AAGAGAAGUGAAUCCUAAUCUUUUCGGAGUAGUUCCUCUUAGCCACUCUGAUCACCUUUAUCAGUGUUUUUGGCCUGUUUAUACAAGACUCUGUCCCUAUUCCUGUAGGCAUCUUCUUUGGCCUGA